GUGUUGGCUUCGGGAGCACACAUACUGAAAUUGGAACGACAGAGAAGAUUCGCAUGGCCCCUGUGCAAGGAUGACAUGCAAAUUUGUGAACUGUUCCAUAUUUCC
ensembl:snRNA U6 U6 spliceosomal RNA